ensembl:lncRNA
CACAGUGGUGGUCCUCUGCAGACUGUGUGCUGCGCAGGGUGACAUUACCGUUAGAUGUUAAGAUGGAAGUAGCCUAGCAGCUAGCUUAGCCUAGCAGCUAGCUUAACUUAGCAGUGCUUUAAGUGUUACGUUUGUCACUCACCCUCCUUCUGUUUGACACGUUUUUGUUAUAUGAAUAACUUUGGUAAAUACUCUAUUUUUUAGUUGACAGUUAGAUAAGAACUCAGUUUGUUGCAUAUUAAAGGCUGGCGCGUGCUUCUGCGUCUUUCCGCAUCGUUGUGUCGACGCACUCGUUUUAAUUCAUGGUUCUGAAAGUCUUGCGUGCGUUGCAGAGCAAUUCACCGCCAGAACAACAGGUGGAGUAACGUGUUUUUGUUGAAGACGACCUGGAGAGUCACGUCGUUGUGUGUGGAAGUCGUUGGUUUCUUUCUUUAUUUAUCAUAGACUUUGUUGCCCUGUGCAUCGCCACUGCUGCUAUACAUCGUGGACACAUUUGUCCCGUAUUUUCCUCCACAACUUUGUGCACUUCUCGACCGGCAAACCGACGUUUGCGGAGAUCUCCCUCCAUGAAUCAGAGGCCAUCCGCGCGUCCUUAUAGUCCGCCAAUGACGGCUUGUAUAAGCGGUCAUAUUUACGCAUUUCUUCCGACCAAAGUAUUUAAAUCUGAUCCGUUCUCUCGUAAACAUUCUUCGUUUUAAUAAUGGCGGUAUCGGGCUAUGAAAACGGAAACGUGAGACUCCAUAAAGGACGUGUUUAGCGGACCAAUCGCAGCCUUGUGCGCUGCGGGACACACGAGGGGCUCUUACGUCUGCGUUUCCUUGCGUCGCUCUGAAAACGCAGAAGCAUAAACUAGGCUUAAGUCAGGACAGGGUUAGCUUAGCUUAGCAUACAAAAUGUAGUCGUUCAAUCAAUCAACAAAGCUGAAUUACCUUUAGUUAUAUUCAGUAUCGUGAUAGCAAAGGUUCCUCUUCAGCCCCACAGACACAAAAGAGGUUCAAAUGUUUAAGUUUAAGUAAUAACAAUGAGAAUCAAACCGUUAGCUAUUUGCAAAGGAUAAAACUUCUGGGUUUCUAAUUUUUCAUCACAGUAAAGGCGAGAGACCCUUGUGUGUUCUUAUUUCAAGAACUUUAUUUUGUUUUGCGACAAUUUUUUAUGAUCAACAACAAUUGGAGUAAAAGAUUACAUCGUGGUCCAUCCUAAUAAUGGGAGACAUUUGAAAGCAAUUUCUAGAAUUAUAACAUUUACUGAGCAGAUUUUCAACAAUAUUAGAAGUACUAGUCUGAAUAAAUGUGCACUUAAUUUGCUUCUCUAAUAAUUCAGUCCUGGUACUUAUAAAUGUAAUUGAUUGAUUGAGGGUAGCCAUUACAUUUUAUUUUGAAAACAAAACAUUUAUUUUUUCAACAGAACUAGAGAACAAAAUAACAACAAUUUGAACUCACUGUAAUUUAUGAUAAAAAAAAAUCUGCCAAAAAAGUAAUUUAUAUGAGAAACAAUUAAAAUGUUUCAAUGUCUAACAAUUCUGGGAUUGCUGUCAUUUCUUUCUGCAUGGGAGUACGGGGUAUUGAUCACGUAUUUAUUGAUUAUUGUCACCAAAUCGGUAAAUGGUAAAGCAAAAGAGAACAGCUUUCUUGAGGAAAAGAUUCAUGCUUCUUAUGUCUCACUUCUGUUCUGAUAUCAGACUGCUUGGAUCGUUUUUAAUCUUCUUUCUGAGAAGUAAAAAACAGAAAGAAGAUUAAAAACGAUCCAAGCAGUCUGAUAUCAGAACAGAAGUGAGACAUAAGAAGCAUGAAUCUUUUCCUCGAGAAAGCUGUUCUUUUUUGCUUUACUAUUUACCGAUUUGGUGACAAUAAUCAAUAAUUACGUGAUCAAUACCCCGUACUCCCAUACAGAAAGAAAUGACAGCAAUCCCAGAAUUGUUAGACAUUGAAACAUUUUAAUUGUUUCUCAUAUAAAUUACUUUUUUGGCAGAUUUUUUAAUCAUAAAUUACAGUGAGUUCAAAUUGUUGUUAUUUUGUUCUCUAGUUCUGUUGAAAAAAUAAAUGUUUUGUUUUCAAAAUAAAAUGUAAUGGCUACCCUCAAUCAAUCGAUUACAUUUAUAAGUACCAGGACUGAAUUAUUAGAGAAGCAAAUUAAGUGCACAUUUAUUCAGACUAGUACUUCUAAUAUUGUUGAAAAUCUGCUCAGUAAAUGUUAUAAUUCUAGAAAUUGCUUUCAAAUGUCUCCCAUUAUUAGGAUGGACCACGAUGUAAUCUUUUACUCCAAUUGUUGUUGAUCAUAAAAAAUUGUCGCAAAACAAAAUAAAGUUCUUGAAAUAAGAACACACAAGGGUCUCUCGCCUUUACUGUGUUGAAAAUUAGAAACCCAGAAGUUUUAUCCUUUGCAAAUAGCUAACGGUUUGAUUCUCAUUGUUAUUACUUAAACUUAAACAUUUUAACCUCUUUUGUGUCUGUGGGGCUGAAGAGGAACCUUUGCUAUCACAAUACUGAAUAUAACUAAAGGUAAUUCAGCUUUGUUGAUUGAUUGAACGACUACAUUUUGUAUGCUAAGCUAAGCUAACCCUGUCCUGACUUAAGCCUAGUUUAUGCUUCUGCGUUUUCAGAGCGACGCAAGGAAACGCAGACGUAAGAGCCCCUCGUGUGUCCCGCAGCGCACAAGGCUGCGAUUGGUCCGCUAAACACGUCCUUUACGGAGUCUCACGUUUCCGUUUUCAUAGCCCGAUACCGCCAUUAUUAAAACGAAGAAUGUUUACGAGAGAACGGAUCAGAUUUAAAUACUUUGGUCGGAAGAAAUGCGU